CCAAUAGCGUAUAUUAGUGUUGUUGCGGUUAAAAAGCUCGUAGUUGAAUUUCGGGAUUGGGAUAUAUCGGUCAUGCCUUUAGGGGCAUGAAUCGGUGUGUAGCCAAUUUCUCACCUUCUGGUGAAUUGGGAUGCUCUUGGGUGUUUCAAUGAACUAGGACUUUUACUUUGAAAAAAAUAUAGUGUUUAAAGCGGGCAUUUUUGCUUGAAUACAUUAGCAUGGAAUAAUAAAAUAGGACGAUGGUUAUAUUUUGUUGGUUUUAGGACCACGUAAUGAUUAAUAGGGAUAGUUGGGGGCAUUAGUAUUCAAUAGUCAGAGGUGAAAUUCUUGGAUUUAUUGAGGACUAACUACUGCGAAAGCAUUUGCCAAGGAUGUUUUCAUUAAUCAAGAACGAAAGUUAGGGGAUCGAAGACGAUUUAUGUACGUCGUAGUCUUAACCAUAAACUAUGCCGACUAGGAAUCAGACAAAGUUCAUUUUUUAACGACUUGUUUGGUACCUUACG
rnacentral:misc_RNA from 1 species